rnacentral:rRNA from 1 species
GAUGAACGCUGGCGGCGUGCUUAACACAUGCAAGUCGAACGGACUCAUAUUGAAACCUAGUGAUGUAUGAGUUAGUGGCGGACGGGUGAGUAACGCGUGGAGAACCUGCCGUAUACUGGGGGAUAACACUUGGAAAUAGGUGCUAAUACCGCAUAAGCGCACAGCUUCGCAUGAAGCAGUGUGGAAAACAAAAAGCUAAAGCUUUUGGUGGUAUACGAUGGAUCCGCGUCUGAUUAGCUUGUUGGCGGGGUAAAGGCCCACCAAGGCGACGAUCAGUAGCCGGCCUGAGAGGGUGAACGGCCACAUUGGGACUGAGACACGGCCCAA